AUUGAACGCUGGCGGCAUGCCUUACACAUGCAAGUCGAACGGCAGCACGGGAGCAAUCCUGGUGGCGAGUGGCGAACGGGUGAGUAAUAUAUCGGAACGUACCCGGUCGUGGGGAUAACGUAGCGAAAGCUACGCUAAUACCGCAUACGAUCUACGGAUGAAAGCGGGGGAUCGCAAGACCUCGCGCGAUUGGAGCGGCCGAUAUCAGAUUAGGUAGUUGGUGAGGUAAAGGCUCACCAAGCCGACGAUCUGUAGCUGGUCUGAGAGGACGACCAGCCACACUGGGACUGAGACACGGCCCAGACUCCUACGGGAGGCAGCAGUGGGGAAUUUUGGACAAUGGGCGCAAGCCUGAUCCAGCAAUGCCNCGUGCAGGAUGAAGGCCUCGG
rnacentral:rRNA from 1 species